GAUGAAGAACGUAGCGAAAUGCGAUAAGUAAUGUGAAUUGCAGAAUUCAGUGAAUCAUCGAAUCUUUGAACGCACAUUGCGCCCCCUGGUAUUCCGGGGGGCAUGCCUGUCCGAGCGUCAUUACAACCCUCAAGCUCAGCUUGGUGUUGGGCCCCGCCGCCCCGGCGGGCCCUAAAGUCAGUGGCGGUGCCGUCCGGCUCCGAGCGUAGUAAUUCUUCUCGCUCUGGAGGCCCGGUCGUGUGCUCGCCAGCAACCCCCAAUUUUUUUCAGGUUGACCUUGGAUCAGGUAGGGAUACCCGCUGAACUUAAGCAUAUCAAUAAGCGGAGGA
rnacentral:misc_RNA from 1 species